UCGCCCUAACCUAGCAACUCCUCUGGCGGCAGGCGAGCGAGCAGAGAUGAGCGACCGCCGCUGCUCCUGCAGUACCGGCGGGGAACUUAGGAUUCCGGCGAGAAGGGCAGAGGUGGACGCCUAGGGUGGCCGUGGCCGGGUGUCCAUGGCGGAUGGCGGCUGCAGCGGCGACAGCGCAGGAGACCUAUGCGGCCCGCCUGCAGAGCGUCGGCUCUAUGAGAGCGAGCCGGAGAAUUUGGAAGGAGAGAUGGAUGUUCUCUUGGAUCCAAGCACUCUAAGCAAUGAUUGGACGGUUGCUCUUUCAACAUAUUUUAUUAGCAAGGAUGGCAAGUGAAAGUUGGAGCGACUGGAUCAUAUGUCUGACAAAUUGUCCUUGCAGAAUUCGAUUCGGUAUAGCACCAUCGCAGAUGCAGACGACAAGGGGUUCAUCGUGCCAAGCACCUUGGUCCUGCUUCCGUGCGACGACGGCAACGGCUACAGAAACAACCAUGGUGAGCUCCUCUCCUUCCCGCCAGUGGUUGCUCUAAGCUCGUUGUGGCCAUCGUGCCAUGGCUAUGUCUGGUUAGGCUGCUAUAGUCCAUCCUUGCAUAACUAUGGGGCUACUGUUUUUUGUUUGUUUGUUCGUUUAUCUUCCUUGUUAUUAUCAUGCUACCACUAGCUUGCUUUUGAUAGAAACUUGCUGAAUGUAUUGCUGUAAAAUUAAGAACUUGCUGAAUAUAUAUAUCUUUGAGCAGCAACUGAUAGAAUAUAUAUAGCUCAUAUUCAUGUUAAUUCCCAUCCUACUGGAAGUUUGAACCACUUCUUCUUUGCACUCAACAACCAGGCAGCACACCUGAAUAUAUAUGCACAUAUGUAUGUAGUUUCCCAUCACACACAUGGAGCAGUCUUGUUUGUUAUGGGAUGUAGCAUCACCACUUAAUUUGAUCCCUACCUGCCUUCAUGAAAUUCCGACUGAUAUAUGUGGUCUAUGUACCAUUCAUGAUAUGCACUUACAUCGUCAGCUCAUGUUGGUCUUGUUUUAUUUCCAAGGAUGCCUUCCUACUCCUGCUAAUUUGAAUGUCGUAUUGCCUUGUUUCUAGGAUGAUGAAAUUCCAAAUAUCUGGUUGUGGUACGCUGCUCUCUCUUGACACUCAUUUUAUAGCACUAUAGUGUUCAUACAACAUGGACGGUGGGUAAGGACGCCAUGCAAGUAUGUUUGUCCCAGUAUGUCUUGCUUACCCAUUCAAUAUGCACAUCACUUAAUCCAAUUAGGAAAGACAUUUUAGACAAUGUCACGAAUAAGAAGUCGUCUCGAGAAAAGCGACGUCAAGAAUAACCAUAUCUUCCAAUAGGUGGAAGCGGGUGAGCCGAAAGGCAUAGUAGGUUGAGUUGGAGGCGUUGCCUUGCCAAUAGAAGGAGGCAUGGUGUCGAGGGAGAUGGCGCAUCAGAAGAACCCACAACACGCGGAUGACCAAUGUGGUAAACAAGAAGACGAGGGAGAAUCACUAGACAAGCCUCAAUGGACGAGCGAGGUGAGGUAGCCUCAGGUAACGAACGAGGUUGGGAAGCCGCAGGUGAUGGUGGCAUGGGGUCUACAUUAGCAGUACGGAAUGAUACGAUGGGAACGAGGACAAUACAUGAGUGAUAGGUGUAUCGGGAAAAGUGAGGAAAGAAAUAUCCUCAAUGGAGGAUGGACAUACAUAGAAAGGAUGGGACUCAUCAAAAGUCAUCACAUCCCAAAAAAUGAAACGUGCAUCCAAUGACUGAUAGGAUCCCAAUACCAACAACGCUUGCUCAUUAGUCAUCACUAUAGCCUAAGACGACACAGACUGAGUAGUUUGUUUGGUGCGUUCAUGGGGGGCAAGAAGAUCGUAGCAAACACAACUAAACAAACGAAGCACUUAGAAGCCACGAGAACGACCAAAAAAAACGCUUGAGACCCUGCAGAGUAGAGAAGGCCGAAUGUUAAUGGUGGAAGUAGAAACAAUCUCAACCCAAAAGUGAUGCUAAAGAGAGGCGACGAUCAUCAACGCAUGAGCUGCCUUAAGGUGACAAUGCUUGCGCUCAUCAACACCAUUCUGAGCAUGAGCACCAGUGCAAGAGAAUUAAGCAAGUGUGCCCUGCUCAGCAAGGUAUCCGCACAACAAAUGAGAGAUAUACCUACGAGUAGAAUCUGCACGGAAGACACAUAGAAGUGGAAAACAGGGUAUGAACCACGGCGGCAAACUUAUUAGGAUAGAUAAGGCCUUACUACAAGAAGACAUAAAAUAUAUCCAUGUGUGUCGAGAGAAAUCAUCUAUAAAGAUAAUAUAGUAGCGAUGACCUUCUUUUGAGGCAAAGGAAGCUGGACCUCAAACAUUAGAGUGAACAAGAUCGAAGGACGUUGAGACAUAGUCUUGCUAUGAGGAUAACGUACUUAACCUGUUUACCAAGUCGAUAAAUCUGACAGUCUAAAGACACAUUGUUAGAGAUAGAUCCAAGAAGACCACGCCGAACUAAAGAUGAGGUAUGAGAGGCACACAAGUUACCUAGACGAUGAUGCCACAAAUAGCCGGUUGUCUUGGUAAUAGAGGCGAAGAGACUAUCGGUGGUGUCCACAGAGGGAAGGUGAAGCUAGUGAGCUCCCGGAGGCCAUAGUAGUCAUAACACCGAGGACCAGCACCAAGUAAAGCACCCGUGUGAUGAUCCUAAUCGAAACAGUCAAGAAUGACUCUACAACCAGAGUCGACAAUUUAACCACCUGAAAUGAGCUAGUAAGUCAAGGAACAUGAGCCAAAGAAGGAACAAGACAAGACAAAUGCUAAGAGUGCCUUGACUAUCGAUUGGAAGGGAAGUACUAUCGGUAGUAAGAACCUGAACAUGAGAAUCUAGAGGUUUGAAUGGAGAACAUACUUGAAGACUGAUGAGUCAUAUGAAAAGACGCUCUAGUGAAGGAUCAAUGGAAAUCUACUAGACUGUGUAAAAGUGGUCUCAGUACCAGAAGAAUCAAUAUCAAAACUUGCAAAACUGUUGAUGGAGAACCAAAAGAAGCAUCUAGCGGACACCAAAGUCUCGUAAUCUCGGGUGUAGUUCCGAGCUCAAUUGAAGAGGUCGACAAAGAAGCACCGGACGAUAAGUGCAACGUCUGUGUUGUGCGGACGAUCGUUUCGUGCAACAAGAUCUACAAGCCGUUUGAGUCAUGCCACUUUGGAACUCAAUGAGGGGGAGGAUUGGGGCAGUUGAUCUACAAAGGUUGAUUGGAGAGCCCAUGCGCUAAGCUUGUUAGGCGGUGCUGAUUUAGGUCUGUGUUAAGACUCCCUUCAUUCAUCUUGGCUUUUACACCGCCAUGCAUGUGUCUUGGGGCAAUGCAGAGCAUGUCAAAUUCAUACCACUUGAAAAUUGCACUUUCAGGAGUUGUUUUUGGGAUUGGAAUACAACCAUUUAUGGGGGUCCUUGGCUCUUUCGGCACCAUGUUGUGGUAAUUGAGGAGUAUAAUGGAAUCUGUCACCGUUAACUCCAUAUAAGUAUUUGGGCUCGGAUCAUGGCCUACCGGGCUUGCUGCACAACUGAGCGAUGGCUGGAGCAAUGGCUUCCAAGAUAGGAAAAUUGCACGUCAAGAUCAAACAGGAAAACCCCCUUUGAGGUUCUUACGGUAUGUUGAGCGAGGUAAACAACCACAAAUGUUCCAUGUGUUGUAUGAGAUGUCAUGUUUUUGCACAAAUUACGAUACGAUUGGCCAUGUUACAAAACAGUGCAUGGAUGGGGUUCAUGAUCCAAAGAAGUUUCGGUUUGGCAAUUUUAUGAUGGUUCCAACCUAGGUAUGGUUCUAGGCUGGAAAUUACUUCAUUGCUCAACCUCAUGGUAGCACCACCUGUGGGAGAGGUGGCUGGGUUAGUAGAGGCCAAGGUGGCCAUGGAGGGAAAACUAUGCAUGACUCGACCCGAUGUAUAAGGAGAAAGAUGAUUUUGACCUUGUGAAUAGAAAUACGAGUACAUGAAAUGUGAAUGCAAACAUCCUUAAUUCAAGGGAUUCAGUAAAAAACCAACUUGCGGAGGUUAUUGAUUGCAAGCAACCCCGUGCCGGUCAAGGACCCUUCCUUGUGCCUAGGGGAAGAAAGUGACAUGCAUCAUAGAAUACCAUGAGAGCAAAACUAGGAUGAGGCACUCAGCUAAGGGUUCCUCUUUGCAAGUUCAAGUGAAGGAAAGGUAGAGGAUGGCCGGGGCGUGUCGCUCAUGAUAGCGUUUUCAUUGCUUCCCCAUACCUCAUGUGCACUCUCCAUCCCCUGUCGAUCCGGCUUGGCGUCCUGACCUUGUUUGCGGGUUGUGUGUCACGGACUUGAUGCUGCAUUCCACAUUCCCUUGUUGGGCGUCCCUGGCCUUGGCGGUAGGUAGCAUCGUGCUCUUGGGCGCUUUGCGUCCUUGCGUGAGACAGGGACAACGCCGACUGCUCGUGCUCUUGCUCCACCGUCGGUGGUGUCGGAGUUUGCGGCUAUGGCGACAACCUGCAUAGGAACAUGUGAUGUAGAACAAGGCAGCACACAAAGCAACUCGUAGACAGGCAAAGGAUGCCUACCCGGACCAGCUUGCAGUGGAGAGUACACGGGAGGUGUGGGGGAAGGGAUGAAAACAUUGUCAGGAGUGGACUUCCGCCGUCAUCAGCCUUUGGACCCAGGGCCGAGCAAUAAGGGGAUGGCGAUGCUCCAUACGAGGUGGUAAAACACAAAUGGUAUGGGUUUCUGAAGUGAGGAAGAAGCGAAGAAGACAGGAAGAGGGCAAUGGAAGGAUAAAGGUAUUAUCCGCCACCCUAUGCUUGUGCGCCAGCCGUGACGGUUGGAUCCAUUCUCUACAUGUGGAUUUGCUACUUGGGAGGGCAUGACAUGGUUGUUGUGGAGUGAGGUGCCACACCUAUUGUGCCAUGUGGGUAUGUUUGGUUGUCGGCGGUAGGACACUUCGCUAUGUGCGUUGUCACGUCGUUCGAGAUCCCUUGCGUGGCUCAUUGAUGGUGAAUGCCUUGCACUUAGUAUGGUUGGCAUCGAUGACGAUGACCUCAUCAUGGUGCUACGUCCCUCUCAGUCGUGAUUUUGUCGGUAUGGCAAGGUUGCUUUGUGGUCAGGCUCUGUGGAUGUGGGAGCGAUGGCUUCAUAUGAUGGUUGUAUGCUGAGGUGGCGACCUCGGAUGGCGAUGCAACAACAGUCAAUGGGUAGGUCCUCGGAUCUACAUUGCAUGGGUGGCAUCCUCAUGCUAUGAGGGUAGCGAUUUCGUCGAAACGAUCGACGUGGUCUGCGGGUUCUGUCUGGCUGCUACGUCGGUGUAGUCGACUCAGAUGUUCGGUGCAACGUUUGCGUUCCGCGGUGUAUUGGAAGGGCUACAAGGGUCUGAGGCGUGUGAUUUGUGGUUCGCCUGAGAGUUGGUUAGGUCGGAGCGGCAACCCUAGAUUUGGGUGCUUGUGUUUAGUGCAACUGUUGCCUGUGUCUUGUUGUCGACGAGGCUUUCUCUCGACGAAUUUGCUUAUGUGGCAAGUAGUUCAUGAGGAGAGAGAUGUUUGUGGUAACAUAAUAUGUUACUGUAAUGUAGCGCUUCCCAAGGCAAUAUGAGUCUACUAGCUAAUAAAUGAAGCCAUCUAUAAUACUACCAUGUUACUUUGCACUAUGGAGAUAGUAACUUGGGCUAGUUUCAUAUGCGUGACACUAGUAUAAGUUACUCCCCACUAUGACCAACCUUACUAAGCAAGGUUUAGCCGACCUACCACUAAUCUACUACUCCCUAGCUAAGUAAAUAUAACACAAGGAUUACUACUGCUAACAGUACCUUCUAUGAUGGAAUUACUGUAUACUAACUUAUGUCCUCCACUGUUUAGCUUUAUGCUAUCUUGUGUGCAACCUUUCCCUCCUUUUAUGUAUUUAGCUCUGCAACUGAAUCUUUGAAAAUGUGUCAUGCCUCAUUGUUCUAUAUAAUCUUUGUAAUAUUGCAAUGCUAGUUUUAGAUAUGCUUCUAGUGGUUUGCAGAACUACCGUAUGUCGAAGCCACGGUGGGCUUCGAAGAAAGUGUGAUGUAAUGGUGUUCCAUCUAUUAUUUUUGGAAUGCUUCCUAGUGUGUACACUUGUACCACAUGUCCUGUUUGCUUUCGUAAUUUUUUGUUCCGUAAUUUCUUCUUCGAACGAAGUAUGAAGCAGUUUGUCCUUGUCGCUAUCCAUCCUUUCACGAUCAUCUAGAUUCUCUCAAGCUACACCAUCGACACCCAGGAUUUUGAAAUGGCCUUACAACAAAUCACAUAAGGCACCUCUGAUAAAUUGGAUGAUUGAGUCUAUGGGUUCCUGUUUUCUCUUUGGUCUCAUACUUGUUAUGCCUUGACUUGCUCUGGCCAAGAAACUGGUUGGAUCUAGAUUGUCUGUUCUGUGAUGGAAUUAGUGUUUGCUACUCCCUCCGAUCCAUAUUAAUUUGGACAUGCUGAUAUGUACCCAACGCCCCACUAUUUAGCUCGAUGUUAUCUUGUGUGCAAUGUGUGGUUCUUAAUUUCUGUUGUAGAUAAUGUCGGGUCAACCUUUUUCCCCCAUUUUUUGUAACUGAAUCUUUGAAUAUAUGCUGUGCCUUGUCGUUUUCCAUAAGCUAUGUUAAUUUGCAUUGGCUUGUUCUAUGCAAGAACAGGUUUUAGAUUUGUUUACCGGUGGUCUGUAGAACUGCUGUAUGUUUGCGGCAAGGGUUGUAAUAAGUCAUGCAUGUAAUGUUUCAUCUAUUUUUUGUGAUGCUUUCUGGUGGCUACAUAUCAUCCUGUGUACUACUUGCUUUUGUAAUUUAUUCUUUAUUAUUGGAUUUCUUGAGAAAUACAAUUUGUAGCACAAUUGCCCUUA